UACAGAGGGGGCAAGCGUUGUUCGGAAUUACUGGGCGUAAAGGGCGCGUAGGCGGCCUGCUAAGUCGAACGUGAAAUCCCUGGGCUCAACCCAGGAACUGCGUCCGAUACUGGUUGGCUUGAAUCCGGGAGAGGGAUGUGGAAUUCCAGGUGUAGCGGUGAAAUGCGUAGAUAUCCGGAGGAACACCGGUGGCGAAGGCGGCUUCCUGGACCGACACUGACGCUGAGGCGCGAAAGCGUGGGGAGCGAACAGG
rnacentral:rRNA from 1 species